UCAAAUUGGGUCCUUUGGCUUACAAGGUGAAUGGUGUGAACUGCCAGGCUGCUCACUCAUUUUCUUGCCUGUUUCAAAAUUCCUAUACCGUAACACUAUAGCACAUGAUACUGAAAUUAAUUCCACGAUCCUAUGUUCAGGGUCAAAUAUCACAGUGUGAAAAAAAAUGUGCAGCCUGACUGGUAGUCGAACCCGAGGCCUUACCGUCUUUCUCAUGUCCUAUACCGUGACAAAUUUAUUAAUUCAUACAUGUCUCUCCCUACAUUCUGUCAGUUUUUAUUUCAUUCAGUACAUGGAGAAAAGUUGUGACAUUGUUAAUUUUCAGGACUGACAGUAUUUAUCAUCAUACAUAGUUCAGAGUCUGAAGAAGAAGACGCUGAUCAUAACCACCAUUUCAAGAGAAAGAAAACGUGUGAUGAGUCGUAUGUAGACAGUGAGGGAACUACACUGCCACCAAGUGACAACGAGACUCUGCCGCCUCCUCUUAAGUUGUAUGUAGAUUUUGACAGUGAUGUGACUACAUUGCCACCAAGUGACAACGAGACUCUGCCACCUUCUGAUAAGGUAUAAUUUGUGAAUAAUAUAUACAUGUAUAUAUAUAUAUAAUUUUGUACCCCACCAUGAGUGGUGGGGGCAUAUAGAUUUGCUAUUGUCCGUUCGUCUGUCCGUCCGAAGUUCGUGACGCGCCUAGCUCCAAAAAUAUUUGAUAUAAAUUGAUGAAACCUUGCAUGAGUCUUUAUCAUGAUAUGAGCUUGCGCACCUACUAUUUUUCCUCUGGCUCCGCCCCCUAAUCAAAAUUAUUUAACUACACUAUUUUAUCCGAACCCCAAAAAAAUUCUGUAAAACAGCCUUAAAACAAUAUUUGUUGUCUAUUUAUGUUAGAUUUCAUUUAAAACUAAUCAUAACAACUUUGUAAUAUAAUAAAACACCAGUCCUUUCCAGUAUUUUUGCGCUUAUCACAUAACACAGACUUUGA